rnacentral:lncRNA from 10 species
CCUUUGCCACAUGAGGUAACAUUCACAGGAUCCGGGAAUGGGGACAUGGGCAUCCUUUGGAGGGUGGUUCAGCUGAGCAUGGGAUCAUGAUACAGGUCCUGUGUAUAAAAUUCAAAUACUUGGCAGGUCGGGCACAGUGGCUCACACCUGUAAUUCCAACACUUAGGGAGGCCAAGGUGGGAGGAUCACUUGAGCCCAGGAGUUUGAGACCAGCCUGGGCAACAGAGCAAGACCCCAUCUCUACAAAUAAUUUUUAAAAAUUAGCAGCGCAUGGUAGCAUGCACCUGUAGUCCCAGCUACUCCAGAGGCUGAGGCUGGAGGAUCUCUUGAGCCCAGGAGACGGAGGCUGCAGUGAGCUAUGGUUGUGCCACUGCACUCCAGCCUGGGGGACUAGCUAGACCCUGUCUCAAAAAAUAAAAAUUUAAAAUAAAAUACAUAGAGAAUCUCAA